rnacentral:tRNA from 1 species
GUGAAUAUAGUUUAACCAAAACACUAGCCUGUGAUUCUAGAAAAGAAAACUAACCACCUUCUAUUCACC